CUGGGUGCAAACAAGGCACUUCCUUCCAACCAGUCGGAGUUACGCUCCAGAAGGCGAAAGGGAGAUAAUUUGGACGGCAGGUGGAGGAACUCCUUAAGGGUUGGAUGUGCCUUGUGAACCACAGAAAGAAGCACAACAGAUGCUGAAGACCUUCGCAGGACGAGGAAAAAAAGAGCUAAAAGAUUCCAGCUGGAAAAGCCCAUCAAGGCAUCGCUGGAUUCGCAUCGUCAGCAAGCAGCACAGG